rnacentral:lncRNA from 1 species
GUAGAGGUUGGUUCACGUGUCCUUGGAUCGUCCUUGAAGGUCUUCUAACGCUCCGAACUCGCGGUGGAUCGAACUACAAACGAGCACGAUCGCAAAUCCACCGUUCAAGUCCCUCUAGAAUAAUAGGUUAAUGGAGGAUGUGGUUUCUCUCUUUUUAUUUCUUAUUCCCUUUUCUUUUUGUUCCGUACAUUACGUUAUGUGGGAUCGCCCGCAUAUUUAUAAGGGAUUCCAAAAUCCUAAUAGCGUAAGAGAUAAGGCCAAAUCGGUUAUUAACUGUUAUCCUAAUAUGAUUAGAAUUUAUCUCUAAUUAGCUUUCCAAUUU